rnacentral:rRNA from 1 species
GUGCACCAGGCGCGAAACUCCGCAAUACACGAAAGUGUGACGGGGCCACCCGAGUGCCGUGGCAACGCCACGGCUUUUCCGGAGUGUAAAAGCUCCGGGAAUAAGGGCUGGGCAAGGCCGGUGGCAGCCGCCGCGGUAAUACCGGCGGCCCGAGUGGUGGCCGCUAUUAUUGGGCCUAAAGCGUCCGUAGCCGGGCCCGUAAGUCCCUGGCGAAAUCCCACGGCUCAACCGUGGGGCUUGCUGGGGAUACUGCGGGGUCUUGGGGACCGGGAGAGGCGGGGGGUACCCCGUCGGGGUAGGGGGUGGAAAUACCUAUAAUCCCACGGGGGACCGGCCAGUGGCGAAGGCGCCCCGCCUGGAACGGGUCCGACGGUGAGGGACGAAGGCCAGGGGAGGCAAACCGGAGUUAGAUACCCCUCGUAGU